UGUUGUUGUGGUUCUUUUAGUUCUCGUGCUUGUAUUAACAGCGUGGUGUUACAGAGAGAAGAUAAAACGUUUUCUAAACAGAAGAAACCAUUGAAUCCAGAAGGCCACACAACGGAACGGUUGAUGUUUAGAGAAAAAGAAGAUCAGGGUGUUUCAGAACAGCCA